GUAUGCCUGAGGUAUCUAAUGCCUAGAUUUCAUUUUCAUGGCUAUGUGUUUCGUAAAGAAGGCAGAAAGAAAACUAUAAGAACAGGUCUUGCGACACAGUUUGCUUCUUAUAAUAAGCUUGCUGUUACUUUAACCCUGUUCACAUUC
rfam:Populus trichocarpa scaffold_11_contig_630, whole genome shotgun sequence.